GACGAACGCUGGCGGCGUGCUUAACACAUGCAAGUCGAGCGGUAAGGCCCUUUCGGGGGUACACGAGCGGCGAACGGGUGAGUAACACGUGGGUGACCUGCCUUUAGCUCUGGGAUAAGCCUGGGAAACCGGGUCUAAUACCGGAUAUGACUCCGCGGCGCAUGUUGUGGGGUGGAAAGCCUUGUGCGGCUGGAGAUGGGCCCGCGGCCUAUCAGCUUGUUGGUGGGGUGAUGGCCUACCAAGGCGACGACGGGUAGCCGGCCUGAGAGGGCGACCGGCCACACUGGGACUGAGACACGGCCCAGACUCCUACGGGAGGCAGCAGUGGGGAAUCUUGCGCAAUGGGCGAAAGCCUGACGCAGCGACGCCGCGUGAGGGAUGACGGUCUUCGGGUUGUAAACCUCUUUCAGCCUUGACGAAGCGAAAGUGACGGUAGGGGCAGAAGAAGCACCGGCCAACUACGUGCC
rnacentral:rRNA from 1 species